GAAAAAGGUGCUGAUAAAAUACCAAAGACUGGAACAACUGGUAUCAAACCAUACUUAUAAUCUGAAUUAGCAUAAGUUCCUGAGAUCAAGAGAUGACUCAGCAGAUGGCAUCUGACAAGUUUCUGAGUUCUAAGCAAUCUGCUAUGGGAGUCCAGAAAGGCAAAUAGCUAAUUCUGAUUGGGUGAGGCCAGAAAGGAAUCUGGGCUGGAUCUCGUGAUUGGCUACUGAAGAACAGAAUACAGAACAAAAUAAUGGGAUAUGACUUCUGAGAUUAGGAUGUAAAAAGAGUCUGGCUUCUGUCUUGUUCAGCCUCUCUUGCUUUCUCAUUUGCUUAUUCUGAUGGAAGCCAGCUGCCAUAUUGCAUGCUAUUCCAUGGAGAAGCCCACAUGGCAAGGAAAUGGGGGUGCAUCCAUCCAACAAC